rnacentral:rRNA from 1 species
GACGAACGCUGGCGGCGUGCUUAACACAUGCAAGUCGAACGGAAAGGCCCUGCUUUUGUGGGGUGCUCGAGUGGCGAACGGGUGAGUAACACGUGAGUAACCUGCCCUUGACUUUGGGAUAACUUCAGGAAACUGGGGCUAAUACCGGAUAGGAGCUCCUGCUGCAUGGUGGGGGUUGGAAAGUUUCGGCGGUUGGGGAUGGACUCGCGGCUUAUCAGCUUGUUGGUGGGGUAGUGGCUUACCAAGGCUUUGACGGGUAGCCGGCCUGAGAGGGUGACCGGCCACAUGGGGACGGAGAUACGGCCAAGACUCCUACGGGGGGCAGCAGUGGGGAAUAUUGCACAAUGGGCGGAAGCCUGAUGCAGCAACGCCGCGUGCGGGAUGACGGCCUUCGGGUUGUAAACCGCUUUCGCCUGUGACGAAGCGUGAGUGACGGUAAUGGGUAAAGAAGCACCGGCUAACUACGU